rnacentral:ncRNA from 1 species
AACCUGUUUGACCCUAUUAUAUAUUAAAUUUAUAUGUUUUAGUUAUUUUAUUAAUAUAAGUUUUAUUCUUGUUUAUUAAUUAGUUUUUAUUGUUAAUUAUAUGUUUAAUUUUAAAGAUUUAUUUUUCAGUAAAAGAUAUUUUAAGUUAUUUUUAUUUAUACUAAGAUACAUGAUUUAUAAUAGAUUAAAAUUGUGCCAGCAUUCGCGGUUAUACAAUUUAUUAAAAUUAAUAUUUUAGGUUUUUAUUUUUUUAUAUUAAGAUUUUAAUUUUUAUAUAAUUUAGGUGGAAUUUAUUUAUAAACUUAUUUUUCAUAAUAUUUGUUAUUAAGUUUAAUUUUUAAACUAGGAUUAGAUACCCUAUUAUUUUUAAUUUAAAUUUAUUAACUUGAAUAUUAUCAGUUAAUUUCUGUUAAACUCAAAGAAUUUGGCGGUGAUUUAUUUUUUUAGAGAAAUUUGAUUUUUAAUUGAUAAACCACGAUAGUUAUUACUUAUUUUUUUGUUUGUAUAUCUCUAUAUUUUGGAAUGUUUUUGUAAUAUAUUUUCUUUUUUUAUAAAUAAAUAAAUGUUAGGUCAAGGUGCAGUUUUAAAUAAGUAAAUUUGAAUUUCUUUAAUUAUAAAUAUUUUGUAAAUUUUAAAUAUUUUAUUUUUUAAAUAGAAUUUAAUAGUAAAUUUGAAUAAUUAUUCAUUUUGAAUUUAAUUUUUAAUUAUGUACAUAUUGCCCGUCGCUCUCAUUUAAUUUGAGAUAAGUCGUAACAAAGUAAUUUUACCGGAAGGUAAAGUUAGAAAGUC